GGUUACUGCUGCGCCAUAUGUUUUGUUCACCAUGAGUCCAGAGUCCAGUUUUGAUUGAGCAGUCACUCGGGAAGGAGUGUUCCGUUCGAUCUACAUAUUUUAAAAAAUUGCUUGACAAUCGGUAGCUACUGUAAGACCUAUAUCAUUGGAAAUUUCGUGAACUCCGUAACUCGAAGAUUUGUCCACGAGCACUGACUUUCAAUCAGUCAUCACGGUGCCUAGUUCAUCGCAGUACUUAUUCAACUUCCAAUCACGAAGGGCAGGAGUUACAUGGCAUCGCACAAUUCGUUUGCAGGUACUCGGAGAUGCUGUCGCCGCAUUUAUGACCCCCUGGACUUCCCCUGUUCAUCA